rnacentral:rRNA from 1 species
AACGAACGCUGGCGGCAUGCCUAACAAAUGCAAGUCGAACGAGACCUUCGGGUCUAGUGGCGCACGGGUGCGUAACGCGUGGGAACCUGCCCUUAGGUUCGGAAUAACUCCCCGAAAGGGGUGCUAAUACCGGAUAAUGUCUUCGGACCAAAGAUUUAUCGCCUUUGGAUGGGCCCGCGUUGGAUUAGCUAGUUGGUAGGGUAAAAGCCUACCAAGGCGACGAUCCAUAGCUGGUCUGAGAGGAUGAUCAGCCACACUGGGACUGAGACACGGCCCAGACUCCUACGGGAGGCAGCAGUGGGGAAUAUUGGACAAUGGGCGAAAGCCUGAUCCAGCAAUGCCGCGUGAGUGAUGAAGGCCUUAGGGUUGUAAAGCUCUUUUACCCGGGAUGAUAAUGACAGUACCGGGAGAAUAAGCUCCGGCUAACUCCGUG